GGGCGAAUGGUCUAGUGGUAUGAUUCCUCGUUUGGGUCGAGGAGGCCCGGGGUUCAAUUCCCCGUUUGCCCC
rnacentral:tRNA from 17 species